GAUGAGCGCUGGCGGCGUGCCUAAUACAUGCAAGUCGAGCGAACGGACGAGAAGCUUGCUUCUCUGAUGUUAGCGGCGGACGGGUGAGUAACACGUGGAUAACCUACCUAUAAGACUGGGAUAACUUCGGGAAACCGUAGCUAAUACCGGAUAAUAUUUUGAACCGCAUGGUUCAAAAGUGAAAGACGGUCUUGCUGUCACUUAUAGAUGGAUCCGCGCUGCAUUAGCUAGUUGGUAAGGUAACGGCUUACCAAGGCAACGAUGCAUAGCCGACCUGAGAGGGUGGUCGGCCACACUGGAACUGAGACACGGUCCAGACUCCUACGGGAGGCAGCAGUAGGGAAUCUUCCGCAAUGGGCGAAAGCCUGACGGAGCAACGCCGCGUGAGUGAUGAAGGUCUUCGGAUCGUAAAACUCUGUUAUUAGGGAAGAACAUAUGUGUAAGUAACUGUGCACAUCUUGACGGUACCUAAUCAGAAAGCCACGGCUAACUACGUG
rnacentral:rRNA from 1 species